AUCCGGGUAGCAACAUGCGAUAUAUGCGUGCAAUGAUACGACUUCCGGUCUCUUCCCGCAUGGCUAUACAUGGAAAAAGCAGCAACGUAGAACAAUCGUUUUAAUUUCAGUGUUGUGUACGUUCUGUCAGCAGAACACGUAGCAGUGCAGAAUAAUACAUACAGUGCAAUUCUGACAGCAGCGAGAGAGAGGAGGCUGCAUAUAUUAGUGUUGUGUACGUUCUGUCAGCAGAACACGUAGCAGUGCAGAAUAAUACAUACAGUGCAAUUCUGACAGCAGCGAGAGAGAGGAGGCUGCAUAUAUUAGUGUUGCGUACGUUCUGUCAGCAGAACACGUAGCAGUGCAGAGUAAUACAUACAGUGCAAUUCUGACAGCAGCGAGAGAGAGGAGGCUGCAUAUAUUAAGUACGAAUACAAAUUCAAUAUGUUGGGUAAAAAACAUUUACACAAACGUAUAAUUACUUCCUCAUAUCGAAGGAAAAUGAUAAAAAUGGAAACAGAUAUUAUAAUGGAAUCUUAUGAAAACCUUAAAAUAUAAACA